rnacentral:rRNA from 1 species
GCCAGCAGCCAUAUCGCCCUGCAACUCACAACUGGCAACCUACUGAAGCUCAGCAGGUGUGAGCCUGGUCAGUACCUGGAUAGGAGAUCUCCUGGGAAAAACUAUGGUUGCUGCUGGAA